AACGAACGCUGGCGGCAGGCCUAACACAUGCAAGUCGAGCGAGGACUUCGGUUCUAGCGGCGGACGGGUGAGUAACGCGUGGGAAUGUGCCCUUCUCUACGGAAUAGCCCUGGGAAACUGGGAGUAAUACCGUAUACGCCCUUUUGGGGAAAGAUUUAUCGGAGAAGGAUCAGCCCGCGUUGGAUUAGGUAGUUGGUGGGGUAAUGGCCUACCAAGCCGACGAUCCAUAGCUGGUUUGAAAGGAUGAUCAGCCACACUGGGACUGAGACACGGCCCAGACUCCUACGGGAGGCAGCAGUGGGGAAUCUUAGACAAUGGGGGCAACCCUGAUCUAGCCAUGCCGCGUGAGUGAUGAAGGCCUUAGGGUUGUAAAGCUCUUUCAGCUGGGAAGAUAAUGACGGUACCAGCAGAAGAAGCCCCGGCUAACUCCGUG
rnacentral:rRNA from 1 species